GUUCCGACCUGCACGAAUGGCGUAACGACUUCCCCGCUGUCUCCAGCAGAGACUCAGUGAAAUUGAAUUCCCCGUGAAGAUGCGGGGUUCCUGCGGUCAGACGGAAAGACCCCGUGCACCUUUACUACAGCUUCACACUGGUAUUCGUCACGACAUGUGUAGGAUAGGUGGUAGACGUUGAAGCAGGAGCGCCAGCUCUUGUGGAGUCACCCUUGAAAUACCACCCUUGUCGUCAUGGAUAUCUAACCGCGGUACAACAAUAUCCGGGACCGUGUGUGGCGGGUAGUUUGACUGGGGCGGUCGCCUCC
rnacentral:rRNA from 1 species